rnacentral:rRNA from 1 species
GACGAACGCUGGCGGCGUGCCUAAUACAUGCAAGUCGAGCGAAGUUUUUCUGGUGCUUGCACUAGAAAAACUUAGCGGCGAACGGGUGAGUAACACGUAAAGAACCUGCCUCAUAGACUGGGACAACUAUUGGAAACGAUAGCUAAUACCGGAUAACAGUAUUUUCUCGCAUGAGAGAUAUUUAAAAGUUGGUUAUGCUAACACUAUGAGAUGGCUUUGCGGUGCAUUAGCUAGUUGGUGGGGUAAAGGCCUACCAAGGCGACGAUGCAUAGCCGACCUGAGAGGGUGAUCGGCCACACUGGGACUGAGACCACGGCCCAGACUUCCUACGGGAGGCCAGCCAGUAGGGAAUUUUUCC